UGGGGCGAUUGUUCUUGUUGAUGCAGCGGUUCUCACGGCUUCCGCUUCACCGUUCUCACUGUCUCCUCCGCCGCCUCCGCGAUCUGUCGAAGCUCGUUACUCGCGCUGGAUUGGAACUCAGUUUUUAAGAAAGGUGAGACUUUGAAUGGCCUGGAUAGAGAGAAAGGUGAGAGAUGCAGAAAAAACAAAUGAUAAGGACGGAGAAGAAUGUUUAGGGUUCUUCUGACGAAGGAGAUAAAGUGAAAGUUUGGCCAUGGGAACGUGGCUCAUGUUCCUCACUAUUCAUAAUGGAAAAGGUUCAUUGUGCCCUUGGUUUAUUUCCCUAUAUAAAGGGGAUGCGUCAAAGGAUCAGGGUGUGAAAACUGUUAUUGUGCAACGACGAGAGUAAGAGGAGAAGAUCCAAGGCGGCGGGAUUUGGUUUGUGGAAUUGUGGAGGGCUUUCCGAUAUUGUGAUCGCUCUUUCGAUAGAGAGUUUCGCCAUUGCCGAUUGCGGAUUUGCGGGAGAUCGCUGUAAGUUUUUACCGCAUUUAUUUUUAAUUCGUCUUUCAUGCAUUUAGUAUAAUCUACAUUGGUAUCAGAGCACGUAGUUAUUUCUAAAUGCUCAACGUCGCUCACCGGCGACAGAACCGCUGGUAAGAGUCACCAUCGGUGUUAACGUCACUGCUCAGCAGCGUACUGUACCAAGUUUAAAAAAUCAUGAUAGUAUAGUGAUUUCCAUCAGAGCAGGGCUCGGGCCGCAAAGAUAUACCGGUGAAGGUAUUCUGUGACCUAUGAUGGCAUCUUGGUUGAUCGAUGGAGUGCUCAUGGUUGCUGCCUCUCACAAUUUCUACGCAAGCAGAGACUGGCUACCUGCGUUUGUCAUGGGUGAGGCAGUGAAGUGGUGGGCGACGAACAGAUCGUGGUGAAAAAAAAUGCCGGCAGCGUGCUCGAGGCGGCCUCGGCCUCUUGCAAUUUCUGUAUCGUGUUUGUCACUGGUGCGUGAUUGAGACGGCAUGUGGCAUGCGACGUAGGCGUCGUGGCGGUGAAGAAAACAACAAAAGAUAAACAUGAGAUUUCUGUUUUGAAUUUUUCUCAAAACAAAAAUAAAAAAAAAAAAAAAAAAAUGAAAUGACGAAGCGCAGUGCUUC